AGGCCAUACAGGAUGAUGUGCCUGCUGUUUUGAUGCUGCAUCUAGGGGUUCCAGUGUGCUCUCUGCUGGUGAUGCCAUUCCCCAUUUCCCCACCUUGGAAAACAACUGAUUCAUUUUUAUUACUGAACCAAAACAAAACAACAACAAUAGCAAAAAAAAAAGACAAAGGUAAAAGUAUAAGUUGCUAAACUGUUUUCAAGAAUAUUAUUUGCUUGACUUUUUGCUGGAUUAGAAUCUAAGAUGAAAUGCAAAUAGGACAACGGCUACUGGGGAAAAAUAAUGAAGAAAUCUGUAUCCAUGGAGGACAGACAUAGGAGGGGUGAGAGGUUGAGGGACAGGACAUAGAGAUUUUAUAAGACUUUGCUUUUGAUUAGAUUUAGAAAGCUCCGUUAAAGGUAAAAAAUCUACAGGAAGAUUGAAAAUAACCAUUCGAGGUUGUAAGAGUGAAUAACAGCAAGUGUGUAGUACUGGUUUGCAACAUGGUAGACCAGGAAAAGGAUACUGGAAAAACCUCUCACAUACACAACUAUCGGGUCCACGAUCACCAAAACUGUUCCACUGUCUGAUUUGUUCUCUUGGCUUCUGAAAUCACGUGUUUCUGUUUUUAGAAUUGAUUAUAGCAAGACAUCUAAAAAAGAAAAGAUGUUGUUGUUUCCAAAUCUAUGAUUCUUGUUACGGGAAGAAAAAAAAAAAAAAAAGGCAUCCGAAGAAAUCCCAUUGAUGAACAGAAAAUUAAAAUUCUUCUGAGAAGAAAAAGACAAAGAAGGGAAAUGAGAAAUUUGUAGAAAUACUGAAAGCCUUCAAAGCACUUCUGUGUUAAACAUUUAAGCCAGAACACUUCCAAAUAGAUGGCGCGUGCUCAGCUUUGGUAAGCUGCACAAGACUUGAAACAGAGGGUUCAGGUAUGUGGAGCGAGCCAAGAUGGUGAUUUAGUAGGACAGCUUUUCCAUAAAAGUAUGUGAUUGAGAACUACAUUUCUCUAUAAAUCUGUGUUAUAUAUCAAAUACUAAUGUGUAAUAUCCCUGUUUCUAUAUCAAUCUAUUGAUAUAUAAUCACGUAACACAUUUCUCCUGUGAUUGUAGCUACACACUUUAGCUCUAGGUACUGGCCGCAAAUUCAUGCAUAUGGGUAAUAGCAGGCAGCAGACCAUGUAAACAGCCAGCAUAGCACACAGUGAAGCUCACAGAGAACACCUUUCUAUCACCAGCCCCUCUUCUAGAUGAUUUCCUUAGAGAUAUUAGAUAAACGAAUAAAAUAUUUCUUAAGUGUGAUAAAAUAUAUAUUGACGUUUUUAAAUAUUUUAUCUGGGAUUGAAUGGAAAUGAGCUCCGUCUGCCUCUGAGGGCACAGCGACGUGUGCAACGCGAUGUUUCCCUGCUACGCGCCUUAUCACACCGUCUACAUGCAAUCUUCUUCCUGCUACCGCUAUUCAUUUUUCAUGUGCCAAGUAUUCAUUAAUCCUUUAACCUCUGUAGGUAAAACCUAGUUUUUCUCUGCAGAACACUCAAGGCUGGGAAAUCAUUGCUCCCCAUUCCAAGAGCUAAUACUUGCGUUUUUAUUGAUAAAUCUGAAUAAAACCUAUAAAUCUGCCCAGGUAACAUUUCCAGUAGAGUUCUGUAGUAGCCUACUUCCUGCAGGAUUGCAUGUUUUAUCUUUUAAAACAUGGUGCUACAGUGUUAACUUUUGACUCGGGUUAAAUCUUCUGAAAACGAAGGAAUCACAUUCCUGAUCUCUGGUGAGUUUUUGGAGCUGGCAGUAUGUGUGAAGUAACAAUAAAUCUGCUGUUUGGGU